rnacentral:rRNA from 1 species
AGUGAACGCUGGCGGCGUGCCUAAUACAUGCAAGUCGAACGGAGUGGCGCACGGGUGAGUAAUGUAUAGCUAAUCUGCCCUACACUAGAGGAAUACAGUUGGAAUCGGCUGCUAAUACUCUAUAGUGUAGGAUGAGGCUAUAUUGUAUCAGCUAGUUGGCGAGGAAAUGUCUCACUAAGGUUAUGACGCAUAACUGGUCGGAGAGGAUGAUCAGUCACACUGGAACUGAGACACGGUCCAGCCUCCUACGGGAGGCAGCAGUAGGGAAUAUUGCUAAAUGGGGGAAACCCUGAAGCAGCAACGCCGCGUGGAGGAUGACACUUUUCGGAGCGUAAACUCCUUUUGUUAGGGAAGCGGUACCUAACGAAUAAGCACCGGCUAACUCCGUGCCAGCCGCCGCGGUAAUAC